rnacentral:lncRNA from 1 species
AAAAAGAGAAGGAGAGUCCUUUUUCUUUGGGUGUGUGAAAAAAUCUAGUUUCUAGGAUUUUGGUCGUAAGGGUUUGAGAAGAGAAAAAAAAUAAGAAAAAAAUUAUUUUCUUCUCUAUAUUUUUUUUACAUCUUUAUCUCCUCAAGAAGUCCAUCUUUACAAUCCAGAUCAGUCAAGAAAAAGAUCUUCAUGCGAGCUAGCACUCCCGAGAAGACCGAUC